rnacentral:rRNA from 1 species
UGGGGAAUAUUGCACAAUGGGCGCAAGCCUGAUGCAGCAACGCCGCGUGAGGGAUGACGGCCUUCGGGUUGUAAACCUCUUUUAGCAGGGAAGAAGCGAAAGUGACGGUACCUGCAGAAAAAGCGCCGGCUAACUACGUGCCAGCAGCCGCGGUAAUACGUAGGGCGCAAGCGUUAUCCGGAAUUAUUGGGCGUAAAGAGCUCGUAGGCGGUUUGUCGCGUCUGCUGUGAAAUCCCGAGGCUCAACCUCGGGUCUGCAGUGGGUACGGGCAGACUAGAGUGCGGUAGGGGAGAUUGGAAUUCCUGGUGUAGCGGUGGAAUGCGCAGAUAUCAGGAGGAACACCGAUGGCGAAGGCAGAUCUCUGGGCCGUAACUGACGCUGAGGAGCGAAAGGGUGGGGAGCAAACAGGCUUAGAUACCCUGGUAGUCCACCCCGUAAACGUUGGGAACUAGUUGUGGGGUCCAUUCCACGGAUUCCGUGACGCAGCUAACGCAUUAAGUUCACCGCCUGGGGAGUACGGCCGCAAGGCUAAAACUCAAAUGAAUUGACGGGGUC